rnacentral:ncRNA from 1 species
GGCACGAGUAGAAGCGGUCUGGACCCGGUCCUGGACAUUGCUCGCCAG